rnacentral:tRNA from 2 species
UGGGAGGUGGUCUAACGGUAGUGACGCCAGGCUUUGAACCUGGAAAUGAAGGUUCGAUUCCUUCCCUCCCAG